rnacentral:ncRNA from 1 species
UUCUUCAGGGCGGGGUGUGAUUCCCCACCGGCGGUAUAGCCCGCGAGCCGAAAGGCCGAUCCGGUUGAAUUCCGGAGCCGACAGUAGAGUCUGGAUGGAAGAAGA